rnacentral:rRNA from 1 species
AAUAACAGUGAGAAAUUACUGAUAAUACCGCAUAAGCUGGAGGUAUCGCAUGAUACAUUCAAAAAAGAUUUAUCGCUUAUAGAUGGGCUUGCGUCUGAUUAGCUAGUUGGUGAGAUAACAGCUCACCAAGGCGACGAUCAGUAGCCGGAUUGAGAGGUUGAACGGCCACAUUGGGACUGAGACACGGCCCAGACUCCUACGGGAGGCAGCAGUCGGGAAUAUCGCACAAUGGAGGAAACUCUGAUGCAGUGACACCGCGUAUAGGAAGAAGGUCUUAAGAUUGUAAGCUAUCGUCGUGUGAGAAGAAAAUGACCAUCACAGGAGGAAGCCCUGGCUAAAUAUGUGCCAGCAGCCGCGGUAAUACAUAUGGGGCGAGCGUUAUCCGGAUUUAUUGGGUGUAAAGGGUGCGUAGGCGGGAAAAUAAGUCAGUAUGUGAAAUCCCUCGGCUCAACUGAGGAACUGCAACUGAAACUAUUUUUCUUGAGUGUUGAAGGGGAAAG